rnacentral:misc_RNA from 1 species
GAUGAAGAACGUAGUGAAAUGCGAUAAGUAGUGUGAAUUGCAGAAUUCAGUGAAUCAUCGAAUCUUUGAACGCACAUUGCGGCCAUAGGUAUUCCUUUGGCCAUGCCUGUUCGAGCGUCAUUUACACCCUCAAGCCUAGCUUGGUGUUGGCGUCUGUCCCGCCGUUUUCGCGCGCGGACUCGCCUCAAAGUCAUUGGCGGCGGUCGUGCCGGCCCCCUCGCGCAGCACAUUUGCGCUUCUCGGAGGCCCGGCGGAUCCGCGCUCCAGCAAGACCUUUCACGACUUGACCUCGGAUCAGGUAGGGAUACCCGCUGAACUUAAGCAUAUCAAUAAGCGGAGGA